rnacentral:rRNA from 1 species
AUUGAACGCUGGCGGCAUGCCUUACACAUGCAAGUCGAACGGUAACGGGCCUUCGGGUGCCGACGAGUGGCGAACGGGUGCGUAAUACAUCGGAACGUGCCCGAUCGUGGGGGAUAACGAGGCGAAAGCUUUGCUAAUACCGCAUACGAUCUACGGAUGAAAGCAGGAGACCGCAAGGCCUUGCGCGGACGGAGCGGCCGAUGGCAGAUUAGGUAGUUGGUCGGAUAAAAGCUUACCAAGCCGACGAUCUGUAGCUGGUCUGAGAGGAUGAUCAGCCACACUGGGACUGAGACACGGCCCAGACUCCUACGGGAGGCAGCAGUAGGGAAUUUUGGACAAUGGGCGCAAGCCUGAUCCAGCCAUGCCGCGUGCAGGAUGAAGGCCUUCGGGUUGUAAACUGCUUUUGUACGGAACGAAAAGCCGUCUUUUAAUACAGGAGGGUCAUGACGGUACCGUAAGAAUAAGCACCGGCUAACUACGUG